UACGAAGGUGGCAAGCUAUGUCCGGAUUUAUUGGGUUUAAAGGGUGCGUAGGCGGUGAUUUAAGUCAGUGGUGAAAUACGGCAGCUUAACUGUCGAGGUGCCAUUGAUACUGGGUCACUUGAGUACUGAUGAGGUAGGCGGAAUGGACGGUGUAGCGGUGAAAUGCUUAGAGAUCGUCCAGAACACCGAUAGCGAAGGCAGCUUACUAAGGAGUAACGGACGCUGAGGCUCGAAAGUGUGGGGAUCAAACAGG
rnacentral:rRNA from 1 species